rnacentral:rRNA from 1 species
CGAAUUGCGCUAUUUAAUGUGAAUUGCAGAAUUCAGUGAAUCAUCGAAUCUUUGAACGCACCUUGCG